rnacentral:sRNA from 1 species
ACUGAGGCGGGCUAGGGUUCCGGUUGCGUUUGUAUGGCGCGAUGUCUGGUCCAAGAGCUUGCCGGCUUUGCGACUGCGGAGCUCCACGGAGGGAUAAAAGCCCGGGAGGA